CCUACGGGGCGCAGCAGUGAGGAAUAUUGGUCAAUGGCCGGAAGGCUGAACCAGCCAUGCCGCGUGAAGGUCAGUGCCCUAUGGGCGUUAAACUUCUUUUGUGCGGGAGCAAUAAUGGUCACGUGUGGCCAGACGAGAGUACCGUACGAAUAAGCAUCGGCUAACUCCGUGCCAGCAGCCGCGGUAAUACGGGGGAUGCAAGCGUUAUCCGGAUUUAUUGGGUUUAAAGGGUGCGUAGGCUGUGAGGUAAGUCAGAGGUGAAAUGCCCCGGCUCAAAGGGGUGAAGUGCCCUUGAUACUGCCUGGCUGGAAUGCGGAUGCGGUGGGAGGAAUGUGUGGUGUAGCGGUGAAAUGCAUAGAUAUCACACAGAACACCGAUUGCGAAGGCAUCUCACGAAUCCGCGAUUGACGCUGAUGCACGAAAGCGUGGGUAUCAAACAGGAUUAGAUACCCUUGUAGUC
rnacentral:rRNA from 1 species